rnacentral:lncRNA from 1 species
UCUACUGGGGUUUAAUGGUGGGGUGUGUCCAGAACCUUCUUUGCGCUCUGGUUUGUGGUCUCUAAUCCCAUAGGAGGUCUCUGUGGGUGAGGGAAGUUGCCCCUGCCUUACAGUCAGCUAGCUAGGAGGGAAGGACAGGAGUGGACCUGUGUGCCUAGCUUGACUCUCGUUUUUUUGGUGGUUGUUACUGGGGAUUGAACCCAAGGGCACUCGACCACUGAACCCCAUCCCCAGCCCUAUUUUAUAUUUUAUUUAGAGACGGGGUCUCACUGAGUUGCUCAGCCCCUCACCAUACAUUGCUGAGGCUGGCUUUGAGCUCACAAUCCUCCUGCCUUAGCCUCCCUGGCUACUGGUAUUACAGGCGUGUGCCACCUGCCCAGCUCCUGGCUUGACUCUUGUUCUUUUUUGUUGUCAUUUUUCCUGCACCACUAGGGUUCCCUGUUAAACCACCCCAGUGACUCUGCAUGGCUUUUAUUUAUUUUUUAUUUUUUUGUAUUACAGAUUGAACCGGGUUACCACUGAGCCACAUCCCCAGCCCUUUUAAUUUUCUAUUUUGAGACAAGGUCUUCCUAAGUUACCGUGGGCCUUGCUAAAUUACCCAGGCUGGCCUCAAACUUGCGAUCCUUUGCCUCAGCCUCCCCAGUCCCUGGGAUCUCAGGCAUGUGCCACGGCACCCAGCUCUUCAUGGCUUCUGAAAUGCUGGUCCCAUGACUCACCUGGUCUCCUCUUAAGGCCAUGGCUAGCUCCAGCCCCAGGCUCUCUCCUCAGUGCCCCAGCUUCAUGCCCUCCAAAAGCACAGGUGCCUGGGCUCAAUUUCUUCUUUGUGCCAAUGGUCAGUCAUCACCAAAGCAGAAAAUGCAAGAAAGCUACAGACCUGAGAAGGUCCCAUAUCCACAAUUAUAGUGUAUUUUGUGGCUCAAAUGGUCAGACACCCGACCUGCCCUCCCUUUAUCUCAACACUUCUCAGAAGUCAGUAUUCCAAAAUUUACUUGGUUCUCAAGGAAGCCCACAAGUGCCAAAGAAUCUAAUGGCAUCACAGGGGAUCAGGGUUCAGAUCCCAUGUUAGAGGAGGAUCUGCGGUGGUCAGCACCCAGGCAAACCUCAGGAAGAAGCCCCCCUCAGCACUCGCUGAUUGCAGGCCUUGGGGAAGCCCUUCAGCUUCUCUGAGCCUCCGCGUUAGAGACUGAGUUGUGUCCCCACACUAACAUGCUGAAGCCCUAACUCUUAGUAUGGCUGUCUGUGGGAGAUAGUUCUGUGUACAGAUAAGAGGUCUGUGAGGACACAGGGAGAGAACCAGGAACCAACCCCAGUGACCUGCAGAGAUUCUAAGCCUCUCAGUCUGUGGCAUUCUGUUGUGGAAGUUUGAGCUGAUUAACACACCCAAUCUCUUCUUUGAAAAGUAUAGAUAAAACUAGUGCCUGUGUCAUGAGAUUAUUUUGAGAAUCCAACAAGGAAAUACAGACGUAAUGCUGUUCAUCUUUCUACAGCAUCUUCACCUCCUGGAAUAGUACCUAGAGGUUCAAUAAAUACCCACUGAAUGAAUAAACCCAUCCAUCAAAAAGUGAUGAUGUCACACUGAAUCCCAGGGCCUAUUUCUGAGCUCCUCACUAGCCUUCAUCUCUCGGCUCAUUGAUCACCACUCGCCAGCCAAGGGCAGCAGGAGCCAGGGCUCAGGGAAGUAUGUGCAAGGGCCAUCUCGUUCUUAAUUGGAACUACCAGUUAAAGCAUCAUUCUCUGUGAGGCUGGGGAUGGUGCUGUGUGAAUUGGCUCUCCCUGGCACCCCUGAGGCCCUGGGUUAGAUUCCCAGCACUGGCUUAAAACCAAGCAAAACAGGGGAUGAGAAGAAGAGCAAGAGGAAGAGGGGGCAUGGACAUGGAUCAGAGCCCAAGGAAGGCUGCCUGCCCUGGUCUGGCUUGGUCUGCUCCUAGGGGCAGAGAGACUGGAGACCACAAAUGUUGGGGAGGAGAGCUGGGACUGGGAGUGGGCCCUGGGAGUGUCCUGGGUGAAGUCCACUAGAGUUGUAGGCCACAGCUGGCCCACCUUCCCAGUGCUUAGGAGAUGCAAAUAAUGGGAACAAUAGGCCCCUGUUCCCAGGCCACCAGUCACAGAUCCUGGGUUCCAGGGAGGUAGAGGUCCUCCAGACUGCCAUGGUGAGAGUUGGUGGUCCCAGGGUAGCCUCAGCACACAAGCCUGUCCGUGCUAGGGGCCAGGGCAUGAGAGGCACUUGCUAGGCUGACUACCCGGCCUCUUCCCUCUGGCUCUUUCCAGGAGGAGCGUAGGAGCAGCAGCAGCAGGCCCCAGUGAGUACCAGGGAGGGCUCUCCAUUCCCUUGCUUCCACUUUGCCCUACCCUCUGCAAAGCACCUGCCCCAGGAGCAGUGCUGGGUCUACCCCACUCCAAGGACCCUACCUGUACUCCCACCCUCUGUCACCCCACUCCAAGGACCCUGCCUGUACUCCUACCCUCUGUUACCCGGGGGCCAACUCAUCUAGCUUUUCACCCUGAGGGCACUGGCCCUGUCCCCAGCCUCCUGCUCUUGCUGCCCUAGUGCCAGGGCCUUGGUGUCCUACAACUCUAGGGCACUCACACUGUUACGUGCGAGAAUGUCCUAGAGUGCUAAGUCUAGCUGACAGGAGCUCAAAAGCCCCCUGGGCAGAGUUGACUGCAGUCUGCUUGCAGGUUGGGGCCACCCCUUCCACCCCCCAGAUGUGUGGGUAAGUGAUGGGAUCCCACAAGUAGGGUGUCCCCUAGGGCCCCCAACACCGGUCACUGGGACCCAGCUCUCCCACCUGUCUUGGCCAACAUCUGCAGCACAAGGACAGAGGACAGCCCAUGUGGGACUGUGGCUGGGAGCCUUGUUUCCAAAAUGCCCACCCAUGGUCUUCAAAAUGACCUCAUGGCUCUGCCCUGCCAUGGUGCUGUAUUCCUUUAGUUAAAAGGAUGGAGAGUGGGUUACUAGAGGAGGGUGGACUGGGAGGAGGUGAGGCCUAUCUAUCUGUUAGAUGUCUCAGCUUGGAGAGAAGAUGUGCUGGGUCCCUCUCCUCUGUCUGCCCCAGAGACCUGGAGACACAGGGUAAGUCCAGCUGCUGAGGCUGGGGUGGGGCAGGGGACAGCAGGCAGAAGCUACUGGGGUCCUGGACCUACUCCAUUCUUCCCUGGCCAGCAUCCCUUCCUAAAGGCCCAAGAAGAGGACGAUGAGGAGGACAAGUAUGAGCUGCCCCCCUGUGAAGCUCUGCCUCUCAAUCUGGCCCCUGCGACCCGUCCUGGAGCGGAGGAGGACUCCCUG